rnacentral:rRNA from 1 species
AUUGAACGCUGGCGGCGUGCCUAAUACAUGCAAGUCGAACGGAGUGGCGCACGGGUGAGUAAUAUAUAGCUAAUCUGCCCCUUGCUGGAGGACAACAGUUAAAAAUGACUGCUAAUACUCCAUAGCAAGGGAUGGGACUAUAUCGUAUCAGCUAGUCGGUGGGGUAACGGCCUACCGAGGCUAUGACGCGUAACUGGUCUGAGAGGAUGAUCCGGAAAAUUGGAAGUGAGACACGGGACAAACACCUACGGGAGGCAGCAGUAGGGAAUAUUGCGCAAUGGGGGAGACUCUGACGGAGCAACGCCGCGUGGAGGAUGACACUUGUCGGAGCGUAAACUCAUUUUGUUAGGGAAGCGGUACCUAACGAAUAAGCACCGGCUAACUCCGUGCCAGCAGCCGCGGUAAUUC